rnacentral:lncRNA from 1 species
UCCAACUCCUGACCUCAUGAUCCCCCCGCCUCAGCCUCCCAAAGUGCUGGGAUUACAAGCGUGAGCCACCGCGACCCGCCAACACUCUUGACAACAGUGCUGUGCUAAGAACUUGGGGGACUUCAAAAAGUUCACCAGUUCCUGUGUCCAUGGGUGAAAAGAUUUUCUACAUCUUUCCUUGACUAGAAACAGAAGUCCUGAAACAAGAAUAUAACGUCAGGAGGCCAGAGGCUUUGUCCUGCCUAAUGUGUUAUUUCCACACUGAAUAAAAGCACCUGAGUCCUGCAUUUUAAAAAGGUUGUACAUCUAGCAAUACCUAACAAAAUAGGAAAUCAACUUGUGUCAUUGCAAGAGCAGUUUAGACAAGGCUACAAAUCUACAAGAUGACAUCAGUUAAUACAGUGAAGACAGCUGGAAAUGCAGAGCAUUCAUACAGGAGGCAAUGUAUUGUAAUGGAGAUUUCCGUUUCAUUUCUCAGCAGAGAGCAGCCACUGUCUUUUGUGUUUGGAUAGACAUAUGGAUAUAAGAAAAAUUAUAGAAUAGGAUAGAAGACAUAGUAAUCUAAUGAGUGUUCUGACUGAAUGUUCUAACCUAUGAAAUUAUCAGUCCAAAACUACAUGUUCAGAACUUACGUGCAACAUUAUCUUGCGUUAUAUUAGUAAGUACAUUAAAGGAAAUAGUGGGAAGAAUAAAAUUAAGAGAAGAAAAAAGGUUUUUUUUUCUUUUUACUUGAAGAGCUUCUUUUCAGGAAUGGUAUGAGUUUUUCCCCAAGCCACCUUAAUUUUAAAGUGG